rnacentral:rRNA from 1 species
UGGGGAAUCUUGCGCAAUGGGCGAAAGCCUGACGCAGCGACGCCGCGUGAGUGAUGAAGGCCUUCGGGUUGUAAAGCUCUGUGGAGGGGGACGAAUAAGGGUUGGCUAACAUCCAGCUCGAUGACGGUACCCCUUUAGCAAGCACCGGCUAACUCUGUGCCAGCAGCCGCGGUAAGACAGAGGGUGCAAACGUUGUUCGGAAUUACUGGGCGUAAAGCGCAUGUAGGCGGUUCGUAAAGUCAGAUGUGAAAGCCCUGGGCUUAACCCAGGAAGUGCAUUUGAAACUCACGAACUUGAGUCCCGGAGAGGAAGGCGGAAUUCUCGGUGUAGAGGUGAAAUUCGUAGAUAUCGAGAGGAACAUCGGUGGCGAAGGCGGCCUUCUGGACGGUGACUGACGCUGAGAUGCGAAAGCGUGGGGAGCAAACA